rnacentral:rRNA from 1 species
GUGUCAGCAGCCGCGGUAAUACGAAGGGUGCAAGCGUUGUUCGGAAUCAUUGGGCGUAAAGCGCGCGCAGGCGGAUUCGUAAGUCAGAUGUGAAAUCUCGGGGCUCAACCUCGAAACUGCGUCUGAAACUACAAGUCUAGAAUGUCGGAGGGGGCAGGGGAAUUUCACGUGUAGGGGUAAAAUCCGUAGAGAUGUGAAGGAACACCGGAGGCGAAGGCGCCUGCCUGGACGACUAUUGACGCUGAGGCGCGAAAGCGUGGGGAGCAAACAGGAUUAGAAACCCGUGUAGUCC